rnacentral:lncRNA from 1 species
AGCAAAAACGCACCGGGAGGCUUCUGAUUGAAAAUAUCGGGGGGAAACAGUCAUCCCAUUAACCACUGGAAAUUUCAUCACAAUUUAAUUCUCUAUCAACGUUUUUUAAAAGGCAAAAAGGGUCAAGAAUGAAGGGUGUUAUUCUUAGUUGUCUGUAUUAUUAGUUAACAUCAGCUGUCUGCUAUCCCCACCUCCGUGCCCAGUACAAAGGACACUGUAAACCACAUUUUUAGAAAAAGAAACUUGAUUUUUGUAGAAAUACAUAUAAAAAAAGAUUCAGGAUCUGUGGGUACUUACAUACGGUCAUUUUACAGAUUUUCUGGUGUGGUGGCUGGAAGACAAACUUCUUUUAAACUCUGUGAAAUUCAAUAUUUCACUGAAUUUAACAUAUUCUAAGUUACACAUAAUAUAUAUAGUGAAGCAGUUUUACACUGUUUCAAUAGGCUUUAAUUUUAAACAGUGUCUACUUUUCAUAUAUAAUGAAGGUGUAAUUUAUAACAAUAUUUUAAACAGUCCAAGCCAGUUAUUUAUACUGGUUUUUAUCUUGAAACGAGGUUUGCUGGGUCUUUUGGUUUUGCUUUAUUUACCUCAUCAUUCCCUUAUCACCCAGAGCCUUUUUUGCAAUUGUAUUUAUUUAAAAUGGUAUUUUUUUGCUUUUAAUAUAAUCGUGUUGUUUAGACAAGAGGUUUUUUUUCUUGCGAGUAUUGAGGAACUUGUUUUGCUGCUGUCCCCAGAGCAGUUCAGUACUGCGAUACGUGCAGUCAAACGGGGAAGAUUCCCAAAUUGUCUGUUCCCAUGCUUGGAAUUCAGACAAGCAGGCACUGUCUCCAUUCCUGUAAGGAGCAGUGAAAUUUGCUGUUGUGGAUCUGGGCUUAAACUGUUCCAGAAGCAAUUUCUGUUUAUAGGCCACUGUUUUUCUGGACAUUGUCCUGUGUUUUUGAGCAGAAAGCAGGCUUGCUGCCCUAGGGACAUAAUCAGUGAGUGUGGGCUGCUCUGGGUACAACGGGGCCGCGUUCUCACUCCGGGGUAAUGCAUGGAACCGUGUGGGACAAGGGCAGCAGAGCCACUUCUGUUCAUCCUGGCCUUGCUCGUCACCUCCCCUGCCCGGAGAGCCUCCUGCAGNNNNNNNNNNNNNNNNN